rnacentral:rRNA from 1 species
UACGUAGGGUGCAAGCGUUUGUCCGGAAUUAUUGGGCGUAAAGAGCUCGUAGGCGGUUUGUCGCGUCGGCUGUGAAAACUCGGGGCUCAACCCCGAGCCUGCAGUCGAUACGGGCAGACUAGAGUGCUGUAGGGGAGACUGGAAUUCCUGGUGUAGCGGUGAAAUGCGCAGAUAUCAGGAGGAACACCGGUGGCGAAGGCGGGGUCUCUGGGCAGUAACUGACGCUGGAGGAGCGAAAGCGUGGGGAGCAAACAGG